UGUUAAAAAUGUAUGACUCUA
rnacentral:snRNA from 1 species